UACGUAGGGAGCGAGCGUUGUCCGGAUUUAUUGGGCGUAAAGCGCGCGUAGGCGGUUUGGUAAGUCGGGUGUGAAACCUCCAAGCUUAACUUGGAGCUGCCACUCGAAACUGCCAUGACUUGAGUUCGGUAGGGGAACACGGAAUUCCAGGUGUAGCGGUGAAAUGCUUAGAUAUCUGGAGGAACACCAGUGGCGAAGGCGGUGUUCUGGGCCGAUACUGACGCUGAUGCGCGAAGCGUGGGAGCGAACGAGG
rnacentral:rRNA from 1 species